CCUACGGGUGGCAGCAGUGAGGAAUAUUGGUCAAUGGACGCGAGCCUGAACCAGCCAUGCCGCGUGCAGGAUGACGGCCCUAUGAGUUGUAAACUGCUUUUGUACAGGAGUAAACUGAGACACGUGUGCCUUUUUGUAAGUACCUUAUGAAUAAGGAUCGGCUAACUCCGUGCCAGCAGCCGCGGUAAUACGGAGGAUCCGAGCGUUAUCCGGAUUUAUUGGGUUUAAAGGGUGCGUAGAUGGUUUGUUAAGUCAGUUGUGAAAGUUCGGGGCUCAACCGUGAAAUUGCCUUUGAUACUGUUAGCCUAGAGUAUAGUUGAGGUAGGCGGAAUGCAUGGUGUAGCGGUGAAAUGCUUAGAGAUCACGCAGAACACCGAUUGCGAAGGCAGCUUACCAAACUGCCUCUGACGUUGAGGCUCGAAAGCGUGGGUAGCAAACAGGAUUAGAUACCCUUGUAGUC
rnacentral:rRNA from 1 species